CCCCCAGUGGCACAAUGGGUCAGUGCACUUGGCUGUUAACUAGAAGGUUGGCGGUUUGAGCCCACCUGGGACAGCUGUGGGC